rnacentral:lncRNA from 1 species
GUUAUUUCAUGAUAUUUGCUUUUAUCCAGGUUUUUGUUUUGAUAAUUAUCCGAACAUGACAAUGAUGCAUAUCUUGAAGCCUAUGAAGGUCUUUGCCGGAACUAUCCUUACAUUGUUGAAUAAGAAGAGGGAGUAAGGCACCUAAUGAAAAUCCUUGCAGCCACUAGAAAGUAUUGACCCGCCUUAUUAUUUUCGGAUAUAUGUGCCUUUGUCAUAAAGAGACGACCAACAGACAACGACAACAACGAUGCAGUGAUAAACAAGACAAUUGAUGCCGUAUUUUUUAUAGCGCUGUGGUGCUUGAAUCGGGUUGUGAUUGGUAACGAUUUACAAUGGUCGUGCCUACGCAACUUAUAUCGGAGUGAUGAGAUAACCGGAGCGACGUGUUGAAGCUGGUUAGUUUCGUGUUGGUCAUAUUCAUUUAAGUGUGGUCAUUUCCUGC